AUUCAUUCCAAACAUGCACCUAUUUGAAAUACCCUAAUUAUUUUAUUCAAUUAAAAAUUCCAACAAUCCCCCACAUGAAUAAAAUUAUUCUUCCAACCUCAUCUCAUGAGACCAUAUUGUCAAAAAAUUCUUUUAGGAAUAGUACGACAUCGGGAUAGGUGAAAUAUUUCAUCUUGAACCUUCCCUAGUUAAAGUUUAUCGGAUUUACUUAGCCAAUCAGUGAAUUAUUUCAUCUUGAACUGUCGGCUGUUUGUGUAAACCAAGACAAUAAACUUAACACCGUACUAAACACGCGUGUU
rnacentral:lncRNA from 1 species